rnacentral:lncRNA from 1 species
CACUUAUUGGGGAACUUCUGUGUCCAGGUUCCGGAUGGUGUAGGGAACACAAAAAUAAAAGGUUCAAAACCCCGGUUCUCAAAGAAACUCCCCUGAGGAGAAGCACUGCAGAGACAGGGAUGCACUGUGAGAGUAGAUGACAACAAGGGAGGAGUGACGUUGGAGGCAACCAGGACAGGAGGUACUGAUCCAAGAGGAAAAGACAAAGUGAUGGGGACAAAAGUAGGUCUGAUGUGUCCAAGGAAACAGGAAGGCACUGAAUUCUUUUUUUCUUCCCAGAUUUAUUGAGAUAUAACUCACACAUAACAUUGUAUAAGUUGAAGGUGUACAACGUGAUCUUGUACAUGCCUAUAUGUGCAAAAUGAUUACCACAAAAAGAUUAGUUAACACAUUUAUCACCUCACUUAGUUACCUUUAUGUAGGUGUGUAUGGUGGCAACUUUGAAGAGUUAUUGUCUUAACAACUUUUAAGUACAGUAUUGUUAACUAUAGUCAUCAUGACGUAUAUCAGAACCCCAGAUCCUCCACUGUCUUCCAUAGUGGCUGCACCAAUUUACAUUGUUGGCAUAAGAUUUUUAAGGGAGGAGAGUGACAGCAGAAAAGGCCCACGGGCAUCAAAGGAGAAUGAAUAACACUGAAACCAGCAUCCCUUGCUGCCCAGGUGCUCCCUUGGGUUUCUCUUGCUCAACUGUGGGAAUUAUACUUAUGCAUGCAAACAAAAGAAGCAGCUGUUUUGCCUCCAGUGAUUGUCUGAGUUGGUAAGUGUCCCCUUCUAGGGUAGCCGCCAUGUUGGGUGUGGCCUUCCCUAGCUGGUUAGAGCAGGCUGCCUCCUUUGUCGCCAGUUCCCUCUAGGCUGCACCUGCUGGAGCCACAUCCAGGGUUGUCCUCCAGUCCCAGGCUGAGCAGGUCGUUUGAAACACAUUUCACAAGCUCCGUCAGUGAGCUGAGGCCGGACCUGGUAUUGAAACACAGCGGGCCCUGUUGCCACAUUUCCCAAAACAGUUGCCAAGGAAGAAGAGUCUGGAGACACAUGUUAAGAAAGAAUAUUGAUGUGAAAGAAACAGGAAGGUCAGAGACACGGCCAAUAUUGAGAAGGGGGAGAAGAGAAAGAACAAGAAAUAAAGGUGCAGUUGUGGGGAAAGAGCUGUGUUCUGUAUCCUCUCCUUCCAAAUGGAUGUGAAAAAUCCCAUAAACAUCCCUCAAGUCUUACAGGGCCCCCUCGCUGGCAUGGGCCUCACCACCCCGUGCUUCCUCUUGGUCACCUGGCCCAACCAUACCUUCUCCCAACUGCUCUCACCAUAAAGGAGUAAAAUGCCAGCGUUGCAGAAGACGGACUCAGAGCUGCUCUGUCAACCCAGACUUUUGAACGAGAAGAAAAAAAGUAAGGGAAGUAAAAUGGAACAUCUCUUUUGGGUGGAUUGCCUGAUUCCCUUUAAGCCCCCCAGGUUUUUUUUUUUUUUUCAAAUGAGGUUAUGAAAAUCUGCUUAUUUGCAGGAUUUUAUUGGGCAAGGUUUUAAAAGCACAUCCUUCCCUGACAAAGCUACCCUUUUGUCCUCCUUCUCUCAUUUUAUGAACGCCUGCUCUCUCAAUAAAAUUAAAAAUACUGACA